rnacentral:rRNA from 1 species
GAUGAACGCUGGCGGCGUGCCUAAUACAUGCAAGUCGAGCGAACAGACGAGGAGCUUGCUCCUCUGACGUUAGCGGCGGACGGGUGAGUAACACGUGGAUAACCUACCUAUAAGACUGGGAUAACUUCGGGAAACCGGAGCUAAUACCGGAUAAUAUAUUGAACCGCAUGGUUCAAUAGUGAAAGACGGUUUUGCUGUCACUUAUAGAUGUAUCCGCGCCGCAUUAGCUAGUUGGUAAGGUAACGGCUUACCAAGGCGACGAUGCGUAGCCGACCUGAGAGGGUGAUCGGCCACACUGGAACUGAGACACGGUCCAGACUCCUACGGGAGGCAGCAGUAGGGAAUCUUCCGCAAUGGGCGAAAGCCUGACGGAGCAACGCCGCGUGAGUGAUGAAGGUCUUCGGAUCGUAAAACUCUGUUAUUAGGGAAGAACAAAUGUGUAAGUAACUAUGCACGUCUUGACGGUACCUAAUCAGAAAGCCACGGCUAACUACGUG